ACAAUGAAGAGUUUGAUCCUGGCUCAGGAUGAACGCUAGCGGCAGGCCUAAUACAUGCAAGUCGAGGGAGAAGCUGUCUUCGGACAGUGGAGACCGGCGCACGGGUGCGUAACACGUAUACAACCUACCUUUUACAGGGGGAUAGCUCAGAGAAAUCUGAAUUAAUACCCCAUAAUAUUACACUUUGGCAUCAUUGUGUGAUUAAAGCUCCGGCGGUAAUUGAUGGGUAUGCGUUGCAUUAGCUAGUUGGUAAGGUAACGGCUUACCAAGGCUACGAUGCAUAGGGGGUCUGAGAGGAUGAUCCCCCACACUGGUACUGAGACACGGACCAGACUCCUACGGGAGGCAGCAGUAGGGAAUAUUGGGCAAUGGACGAGAGUCUGACCCAGCCAUGCCGCGUGCAGGAUGACGGUCCUAUGGAUUGUAAACUGCUUUUAUAUGAGAAGAAACCCUUGGAUGCGUCCGAGGCUGACGGUAUCAUAUGAAUAAGGAUCGGCUAACUUCGUGCCAGCAGCCGCGGUAAGACGAAGGAUUCAAGCGUUGUCCGGAUUUACUGGGUUUAAAGGGUGCGUAGGCGGAUUAUUAAGUCAGUGGUGAAAGCCCGCAGCUCAACUGCGGAACUGCCAUUGAAACUGAUAAUCUUGAAUAUGGUUGAGGUAGAUGGAAUGUAACAUGUAGCGGUGAAAUGCUUAGAUAUGUUACAGAACUCCGAUUGCGAAGGCAGUCUGCUAAGCCAUUAUUGACGCUGAUGCACGAAAGCGUGGGGAGCGAACAGGAUUAGAUACCCUGGUAGUCCACGCCCUAAACGUUGAUAACUCGCUGUUGGCGAUAUACUGUCAGUGGCUAAGCGAAAGCGUUAAGUUAUCCACCUGGGAAGUACGACCGCAAGGUUGAAACUCAAAGGAAUUGACGGGGGCCCGCACAAGCGGAGGAGCAUGUGGUUUAAUUCGAUGAUACGCGAGGAACCUUACCUGGGCUUAAAUGUUAAGUGACCGACGCCGAAAGGUGUCUUUCCUUCGGGACAAAUAACAAGGUGCUGCAUGGCUGUCGUCAGCUCGUGCCGUGAGGUGUUGGGUUAAGUCCCGCAACGAGCGCAACCCCUAUCAUUAGUUGCCAUCAGGUUAAGCUGGGGACUCUAAUGAAACUGCCUACGUAAGUAGUGAGGAAGGUGGGGACGACGUCAAGUCAUCAUGGCCCUUACGUCCAGGGCUACACACGUGCUACAAUGGUUGGUACAAUGAGAUGCUACUUGGCAACAAGACGCAAACCUCAAAAAGCCAAUCUCAGUUCGGAUUGAGGUCUGCAACUCGACCUCAUGAAGCUGGAUUCGCUAGUAAUCGGAUAUCAGCAAUGAUCCGGUGAAUACGUUCCCGGGCCUUGUACACACCGCCCGUCAAGCCAUGGAAGCUGGGAGAGCCUGAAGUCGAUAACCGCAAGGAGUCGCCUAGGGUUAUACUAGUAACUGGGGCUAAGUCGUAACAAGGUAACCGUACCGGAAGGUGUGGUUGGACCACCUCCUUU
rnacentral:rRNA from 1 species